UCCUAGUCCCCAUUGAUUGAUUGUUCACAGUCAGUUACAGAUCCGACUCCUUGUACUACUCUUCCCCCCUUCUCACUGCUGCACUUGACUAGUCUA
rnacentral:sRNA from 1 species